AGCGAACGCUGGCGGCAGGCUUAACACAUGCAAGUCGAGCGGGCACUUCGGUGUCAGCGGCAGACGGGUGAGUAACACGUGGGAACGUACCCUUCGGUUCGGAAUAACGCUGGGAAACUAGCGCUAAUACCGGAUACGCCCUUUUGGGGAAAGGUUUACUGCCGGAGGAUCGGCCCGCGUCUGAUUAGCUAGUUGGUGGGGUAAUGGCCUACCAAGGCGACGAUCAGUAGCUGGUCUGAGAGGAUGAUCAGCCACACUGGGACUGAGACACGGCCCAGACUCCUACGGGAGGCAGCAGUGGGGAAUAUUGGACAAUGGGCGCAAGCCUGAUCCAGCCAUGCCGCGUGAGUGAUGAAGGCCUUAGGGUUGUAAAGCUCUUUUGUCCGGGACGAUAAUGACGGUACCGGAAGAAUAAGCCCCGGCUAACUUCGUG
rnacentral:rRNA from 1 species